GGAAUUCAAUUUGAACCCUAAUGCUAAGAGUUUCACUCCCUUGACUUCUCUGAGGCCACAUCACCCUCCAGCGCUUGAUGCAACAUACUAUUAUCCUAAUAACAUGGGGGCUACUGGACAUGGUUUGCCUGUUGGCAUGGGGUUCCCACAGGCGUAUGGUGGACAGCCUGUUGUUUACAAUGCUCAGCCUGGAUCUUCUCCCCAGGGUUACAUGCAUCCUUCUGGGCAACAGUAUGGGCAGCAAAUGAUGAUGGGACAGACCCGCCCUGUCUAUUAUUAUGCACCUGGAA